CAGCAGCCGCCGCGGGAAUACGAAGGGUGCAAGCGUUACUCGGAAUUACUGGGCGUAAAGCGUGCGUAGGUGGUCGUUUAAGUCUGUUGUGAAAGCCCUGGGCUCAACCUGGGAAUUGCAGUGGAUACUGGGUCACUAGAGUGUGGUAGAGGAUAGUGGAAUUUCCGGUGUAGCGGUGAAAUGCGUAGAGAUCGGGAGGAACAUCAGUGGCGAAGGCGGCCAUCUGGGACAACACUGACGCUGAGGCACGAAAGCGUGGGGAGCAAACAGGAUUAGAUACCCCCGUAGUCCCUGUCUCUUAUAC
rnacentral:rRNA from 1 species